rnacentral:rRNA from 1 species
GUCUACGGCCAUGCCACCCAAAACAAGCCUGAUCCUGUCUGAUCUCAGAAGCUAAGCAGGGUCGGGCCUGGUUAGUACUUGGAUGGGAGGCCACCUAGUGCCGUAGAUGUAAAAAAUAAAAAAGACCAGGUGCCGUAGACG